rnacentral:rRNA from 1 species
GACGAACGCUGGCGGCGUGCUUAACAUAUGCCAGUCGAACGGAAAGGCCCUGCUUUUGUGGGGUGCUCGAGUGGCGAACGGGUGAGUAACACGUGAGUAACCUGCCCUUGACUUUGGGAUAACUUCAGGAAACUGGGGCUAAUACCGGAUAGGAGCUCCUGCUGCAUGGUGGGGGUUGGAAAGUUUCGGCGGUUGGGGAUGGACUCGCGGCUUAUCAGCUUGUUGGUGGGGUAGUGGCUUACCAAGGCUUUGACGGGUAGCCGGCCUGAGAGGGUGACCGGCCACAUUGGGACUGAGAUACGGCCCAGACUCCUACGGGAGGCAGCAGUGGGGAAUAUUGCACAAUGGGCGGAAGCCUGAUGCAGCAACGCCGCGUGCGGGAUGACGGCCUUCGGGUUGUAAACCGCUUUCGCCUGUGACGAAGCGUGAGUGACGGUAAUGGGUAAAGAAGCACCGGCUAACUACGUG